CGAAUUAAAACUUUUAAAAUAUUAGAAUCUCAAAGUUGACUAUCUGCCUUUACCAAAAUCCCUUAACAUGGUAUAAUAAAUUAUUUGACUAAGAAAAUCCCUUGUGGGUAACCCCGAAAUAGACAACAUCAAAUUAAACAUCACGUAAAUAAGAAUAAGGAAAACAAAUAAAUAGUUUGAAAUAAAAUUGUCCCAUGCUUUGUUGGCAUUUCUGUACACUGUACAUCUGUACACUGUACACUGUACACUGUACACUGUACAUAAAUAUUGAAAAAUCGUGAUUUUUAAGCUUUCUUGUAUUAAAGGAGUAGCACCGAGGACACAAAAUAUCUGUUGCUCGGCCCGUGAAUCUGAAUUCAAAUUAUCUCAGUUCCACUCCAAACUUCUAAAGGCAUGCUAGUCGCUCAGAUCUGCCAUUUUUUGUACGAGAUUUAAAAAAGGUGUGCUGUAGAUUGUGAUUAUGCGUGGAUCCUACUGGGUAGCCGGGAAGGAGAAGAAUAAGAAGUGGUAUACCUUAGGAUUGGAUAGUGGCCUUGUUGUAGUUCUUUUCAUAACAACAGUCUAUGUUUUCCUUGUAUUUGGUCUCUUCUUCUACGUCAAGAACGAAUGGUGCUAUGUCCUCUUCAAAAAUUUCACGGAGAACCCGGAAUGUUUUCGACAAGACAACAGAGAUAAUCUUCUCCUUGGAAAAGAUCAAGGAGCUGGCCUUGGUAGAAGAAGAAAAUAUGGAAACGCUGAUCAAUAAGGUGCAACGAGAACAAGAAACAUUGAAGCAAAUAACCGUUGUCAUUUUUUAAAUUUUCAUAGGACGACCGUUGCGACAUUGGCACUCUUAAAAUGAAGGGUCACUUUCACUUAAAUUUUCUUUGAUGACCAACUAACAAAGAUUUUCUGCAGAUUUUCUGGAAUU